rnacentral:rRNA from 1 species
GUGGUUUGUCGCGUUGUUCGUGAAAUCUCACGGCUUAACUGAGAGCGUGCGGGCGAUACGGGCAGACUAGAGUACUGCAGGGGAGACUGGAAUUCCUGGUGUAGCGGUGGAAUGCGCAGAUAUCAGGAGGAACACCGGUGGCGAAGGCGGGUCUCUGGGCAGUAACUGACGCUGAGGAGCGAGAGCGUGGGGAGCGAACAGGAUUAGAUACCCUGGUAGUCCACGCCGUAAACGGUGGGUACUAGGUGUGGGUUUCCUUCCUUGGGAUCCGUGCCGUAGCUAACGCAUUAAGUACCCCGCCUGGGGAGUACGGCCGCAAGGCUAAAACUCAAAGGAAUUGACGGGGGCCCGCACAAGCGGCGGAGCAUGUGGAUUAAUUCGAUGCAACGCGAAGAACCUUACCUGGGUUUGACAUGCACAGGACGCGUCUAGAGAUAGGCGUUCCCUUGUGGCCUGUGUGCAGGUGGUGCAUGGCUGUCGUAAGCUCGCGUCGUGAGAUGUUGGGUUAAGUCCCGCAACGAGCGCAACCCUUGUCUCAUGUUGCCAGCGGGUAAUGCCGGGGACUCGUGAGAGACUGCCGGGGUCAACUCGGAGGAAGGUGGGGAUGACGUCAAGUCAUCAUGCCCCUUAUGUCCAGGGCUUCACACAUGCUACAAUGGCCGGUACAAAGGGCUGCGAUGCCGUAAGGUUAAGCGAAUCCUUUUAAAGCCGGUCUCAGUUCGGAUUGGGGUCCGCAACUCGACCCCAUGAAGUCGGAG